CAGCAGCCGCGGGAAUACGUAGGGUGCAAGCGUUAAUCGGAAUUACUGGGCGUAAAGCGUGCGCAGGCGGUUCUAUAAGACAGAUGUGAAAUCCCCGGGCUCAACCUGGGAACUGCAUUUGUGACUGUAGAGCUGGAGUGCGGCAGAGGGGGAUGGAAUUCCGCGUGUAGCAGUGAAAUGCGUAGAUAUGCGGAGGAACACCGAUGGCGAAGGCAAUCCCCUGGGCCUGCACUGACGCUCAUGCACGAAAGCGUGGGGAGCAAACAGGAUUAGAUACCCCGGUAGUCCCUGUCUCUUAUAC
rnacentral:rRNA from 1 species